UGCGCAGGCGGUUUGAUAAGCCAGAUGUGAAAUCCCCGAGCUCAACUUGGGAACUGCGUUUGGAACUGUCAGACUAGAGUGCGUCAGAGGGGGGUGGAAUUCCGCGUGUAGCAGUGAAAUUCGUAGAUAUUCGGAGGAACACCAGUGGCGAAGGCGGCUCACUGGCUCGAUACUGACGCUGAGGUGCGAAAGCGUGGGGAGCAAACAGGAUUAGAUACCCGCGUA
rnacentral:rRNA from 1 species